rnacentral:tRNA from 1 species
GUUUCCGUGGUGUAGGGAGCACGUUAGGUUUUCGUCUUAGAGGCGUACCUUCAUGGUACCGGAAAUU